GCAAAAUAUUGGCAGAAAGGUUAAAUCUCUAAUGCCAUACCAGCAACAUCCACCUCUGAUGAUGUGGGCCAACAUUAUUCUACAGGAGGCACUACUUUUAUGAACUUCCAAAUCUUUCAAAGUUGGCAUCAAUGCUAACUAUAUACCACAUCUGAUCUUUUGUGACCUAUGCAUUUAUUUUUUUUUAAUGAGAAAACGGAGACCCCUCUACCACUUUUCUGGAAAUAAACUAAUAGCAAUUGCAAUCUAAUUUGGAAGCCUGCACUUUCAAAAUGUGCUCUUCUCCAGCUGUUAUCUUCUCCAAGGAUUUUGAGCUAGAAUGGGAAGUAAGCAUUGUAUCUCUAUGGGUAAUGCAUUUGAGAUCUACAGAUUUCCAGAUAUUUCCAGAUAGUGUUUUCCUCUACAGCUUGCAGGAAAAACAGGGUCCUGGAAUCUGUCAAGAGAUGUGCUUUUAAGGAACAUUGUUUCAGAUGUAUCAGUAUUUUCCCCCAGACAUCAUUUUGUCUGAAAAGUCCCAUGCAACAUCAUUGUUGAUGAUCCCAUCACAUCAUAUUCCCUGGUGUCCUUAGUUCUGGUACUCUGUUCUGGUUCACAAGGUACUGACCGCUGUCACCUCUGUUGGUGAUUAGUCGGGGCAAAUUUUCUGAGAGAGAAAGUGCCAUAAUGUAAUUUACUAUCUGACAGAAAAUUGAUCAUAAAAACACAAUACAGUUUUUGCUAUGGGUGUAUUCUCCAUUUGAGAAUGCGCAUGUCUGACUACAGAGACUCUAUCUGGACUUUCUAUUGUGUGGAGGCUCAUACCAUAUGUUAUCUAUACAUCCUGAAAACUCUGAUAUUUGGGAAAAUGUAUCACUUCUUAUCAGCUAUCAUGAGAAAACAUAUAAAUAUUACUGAUUUCACAAUAAUUGUGCAUCAUUUAAAUUUUGGGGAUCAUUGCCAAUUUGUUUUGCAAUAGCUUGAAUCACUGUGUUUGAAUGGUAUGCUGAUUUAUUUUAAUGGGAACAGGUCUGUCUCCUGAACUCAUGGGGAGAUGACGUUUGACAGCUGUGACAUUCAUGGGCAACGCAUUUGAAAAAGAAGGCAUAAAUAUUCAGAGACAUAUUAGAAUGCUGUUCAAUCAGGGGAAAGGCUGAAACAAUUCCACUUAGAAGGAGGUUACAAACAGGCUGAGUAUUGCAGCUGGCUGGAAGAAGUUUGUGUUCUGCAGGGCUAAGGUUUGACACCAAAGCAAGACCUGAUGCCACAGGGAUCAUCAGAAUCUAGUAAACAGAAAUAUCUAAGAAGAGCAGAUGCACAUUGUGUCUUCUAGGCAUCCUCUCAGUGGCAUGGUUGAAAUCCAGAUUCUGAUCACACAAGAUUCAGGUAAAGUUAACAUCUAAACACUUAACAGGGUUAUCAUUGCUACUUGCUUUUUGAUCAUGUAGUCACAAAUAUUUUCUGCUAUGAACAUCAAAUGAUAGUAGUUGUUAUAGUCCUUUACACUUAAAUAUUAUUUUUUUCCAUACCAUUCACACAAUAUGAAAAGAGUGACACCCUCAGUUUCAUGCUAAACAUGAAAGCACACAUAACAUUAUUCUAGUUUUCCCUUGAUAGGUUUUUGAGCACUAUGUGGUUGGUAAGUUGUCUCUCCAAGCCAGUGUACUCUUCCCAUUUUCUAUAGUAUUUUUAUUCUUAACCCUCCAUAUUCUCUGUGAUCACAGAUGUUGCGAUAUAUUUGUUUUCUUUUAGUAUUCGUUUGCACAAAUGUGUCAAAUGUAAAAUGUAAUAAAGAAAAAUACAGUAUUUUCAAACAGAAAAAAAAGGAAUAUCUGUUAUAGGAUCCUAAAUUUUGAUUAAGUUUAAGCAGGAGAGAGUUCACUGAAACCAGAGCCAGAUUCCUAUGCAACCUGUGUGCAUGAGAAUUUUCUUCACAACAGGAUGAGGCUUUUGUUAAGAGAUCAAAAUCUCCACUUUCCUUAUUGAAGUACACAACAGAAGACUUAAUUCUAAAGACUUUUGUCUUCUAGGCAGAUUCUUUACAGUCACACCUUUUCUUUAGGAGGAAAGGAACUGCAAAGAGAACAGAAGCCAUAGCUCAGACCAUAGGACUUCUUUGUCAGACCAUAGGAAUUCUUUGCUAUCCACCAAAACUAGCCACUACUUCUUUCCAAUACGUUCCAAAAAGUUAAGAGUUAAUAAAGGUUAUUAAUCCAAUUGCUUGCCUUCUAUCAGUAUUUUUACCCUUGAAACACAAAGAAUGCUGUCAUGAGAGAGUGUUCCUCGGCUUUUCCUCUCCUCUAUUUGUCUAUGCUUAAAAGUAGAUCUUAGGGUUCAUAGGACAGAUAACAGACAAACCAUAAAUUUCAGGUUAUGUACUUCUCUGUGAGCUCUGGCCUUAGAUAUUCUACACUGUAUAAUUACUCUGUGAUGUAGAAUGAACAAAAAAACCCAAAAGAGAUAGAAGGUGUUAAAGAUUUAGCAUUAUCAGGUUGACAACUGUUGGUAGUCCUAAUACCAUUGUGCUUUUUUUUUUUUUUUUUUUUUUUUUAGGAUUUCUUUAUCUUUAAAAUUUGUUGCCUACCACUUGUACUAUUGUGAGAAUUAGUUUAGUUAAAACACUCUUGUAUGUAUGUGAUUAGUCAUUCAACAGUCCAAAUCAGCUGUUGUUUUAAAAUUACUAUGGGUGAAAGAAUAAAAGAGCAAUUUGAUUGAUUGUUUGUUUAGUCAAAGAGCUUAAUUAUUUUAAAUUUCAUGUUUUUAUGUUCUUUACAUAUCUGUCAAGUCUUCAUCAAGGGAAUUAUCCCUGUCAUAUCUCUACUAUGUUUUUGUUAUCAUUUUCAUUCAUUGAUCAUCAAGAACUGGAACAAACAGCACUAAGCAACAUCUGAGCACCUUCUAAUUAGCAGAAGAAUCAUACUCAUUUUGGUUUUAUGCCAAACAUCUGAUAACUGGAGGCAAAAGGAGCUUUCCUUGAAAAGGUCUUCAGAAGCAAAAAUCCUUUACAACCAAUAACCCCAAGAGACAGAGAGCACUAGCGUGGUCCAGUAAAGAGUUGGGCUCUAUGUUUAAAGGAAUAUAGGCAGGGGCAGCUAGGGACACACUUAUUCAGAUGUCUUUCUUGCAACUUCCACCCAUAGAACUUCCAUGGAACUCCCAGUGGUGAUUAAGUAUGUGUUUCUGUUGUACAUCCCCUCAGGAGGACAGCUGCGGAAAUGUCCCCUCCCCUCUAUAAAAUGAAUCACCCCUGGACAGAGUGGGUGUAGCUGUUUAUACAUCUCUUAUCACACCGAGGAUGUGCUAAUAUCUUGACCUGAAAACCACAGGACCACCCAAGACCCUAGCAGCUAAACUGAAAUGAUUCAAUGAUGAUUUAUGUUGGGAGGUUUCCCCUGCAAUAUACUUACCCUUGAAGGAGAUGACGAAAUCAUAUAAAUUUGCCUAUUUCAUCUAGAAAUGGAAGAAGCUCUUAACAAUGAGUGUUGCUCAAGCCACAGUCUCUUAAGUGGCACACUCAGACAAGGUCUGAGAAGGACAUCAGAUAAUGCACAGUCACUUGACUUGAGAGAAAGAUUAAAGAUUCAAAAAUGGAAAGUGGUAAAGAGGCCACACAUAUAGCCUGGGAAGGAAGAUUAGUCCUGGCAAAAAGAGUUUGUACGUCUAGACUGUUUCCCCUUAGUACAAUCUUCCAGACAAGCAAAUAGUGUGGAAUCUAAAUCCUCUUCCUUGCCAGCCAAAAUUUUCUCUUCGGAGAUGAGAAACCAAAGUCAGACAAAAGCUUUAUAUUUUGGCUGAAAGUAUAUGCAUAACCUUCUGAAGAGGAAACUGACGGAGGGAAAUUGAUAAAAAUAUCCUAGAAAAAGAAAAAAGCUUGAAGUAUUUCAGUUUUGCUCUUCAUUUAAAUGGUGAUAGUAAUUGUACCUUACAGCUAAGGGUAUCGCAAAAAAUCAGAAGAGAAUCACAAACUGUUUUACAAGUUCUGAUUUGAAAUGCAGGAUCAGAGUUACCAAACAGUUCUCAUUAUAGACAGUUUUUAUAUUUGAAUCCAAGGAUAUAUUAAAAAUGAUAAUUGCUUCCAAAAAGUAAUCUGAACUUAUACUGUUAGAUAUUGCAGUAAAACGUAGGCUUGGAGAUUAAAAUAUUUACUUCACAGAUAACAGGUAUUUAUCCAAAAUCUAGCUGAUUAUAUGGUCAGCUAAAAGAAUGUGAAAACCAGGAAUAAUUAAUGCCUUCUGAUGAUUCCCACUACUAGUUACAUUUUUUCUCAGUACUGUUAUUUUACACAAAUGACUGAAAGACAUCUUUGAUGUACAUCUGAUGAUAUCUGAAGGAGACCAAAGAUUCUCUUUCCCUCUAAUGAAGCAAAUCUAGAAUUUGGAAGUCAAACACAAUAUUCCCAUUGCUACCAAGGAUAUGGGAAAUGUUAACAUGAAUUAUGCCAUUCAAAAUUCAUAAGGAUUUGGUACGUACAAGACAGCCAUUUGCCUCAUGAUUUGCCUGCUUAUCACCAGACUCCUGUUAAAAGUCCACUAGUCUAAAAUGUAGCAGGAGCAGAGAAACAGUUUAAGUCCUUAGGAGAUGAGGUGUCCAGAUCCCUGAAAAUUAGUCACUGACAGUGCAAGCCUCUAUUAAUUACAGAUCAAUAACUGUUUAUCAGACACUUACAAUAAACUCUAUUUCAGAUGACACAUUUAAAUCCAGAAGAGUCUGGACCACUUCUUUCUCCUUUAAAUCUAAAUGUUUUAAUGUGUAUUUCUAAACAAAAUGCUUUAAGAAACAGCUGGAUCUUGCCAGGUAUCCAGCAAAGGCUGGAUAUUUCCAAUAAAAACAGAUCAUUUUUUCAAAACAUAAGGCAGGUUUUUGAUAAAGCAUUACUGAAAACAUAUGAUCUUGAUUAAAGAAAGGGAAACCUUUUACAUCAGCAGCUCCCAAGAGAUAUCAAGGAUUAAUAAGGUCAGAGCACCCUUGCAUUCUCCUUAAGAAUAUGCAGCCAGAACAGCACUUCCUCUUGACUGCACUCAAUCCACAUUCGGUAUCCAACUGAGGUUUGUAAAAAGAAAUCUCUUUUAUCUAUGUUGCUUAUUACGUGAGUGGAUGAUAAAACAAAAUAACCAGCCCUCCACCUACCUGAUAUUUGUCUUUGGCCUCUACAGACAUUUGGCUACCCCAGGAAAAUGAUGCAUCUGUUCUGAAUCCACAUAGACUUGCCAGUUUAGUGCAGAAGAAAAAGGACCAAAGCAUCUAAGAUCAAUGUCAGAUAGACUCUGGCAGGUCUUUCUGGGGUAGUGUAAGAUUUUAUCCACAGCUGACUCCUCUUUGCUAGAGUUUACAGUGGCCUCUGUAGUAGAGUAAGCAAGCAGUGAUGUAACUACAGCUCAGAAAAAGCAUCUCAACUGCCUUUUCUCAUGUCCGUGCUAAAACAUAUAUUUCCUUCUUUUAAUGUUUUCAAUCCCUAUCCUCUAGCAGAAAUAGGGAUAAGGCAACCAAGGCUGACUCAGAAGUUGUCAUAGUAAAAAUGAACAGUUUAUCUGACAAAGGCCCAAGAGUAAGCUUGCUAUCUAAGAAUUCUGCAGUGGAUGGGGCAAAGAAGUUCCCUUGUAUGGUUGUUGCCACAUUCAUUGACAGAGAAGGAAAAAGAGUGGAAGAAAUGGUGAGAGAGAAAUAGAGAAGGAGGGAAGAGCAAAAGAAGAGGAAGAAAGGAAGAGGAGAGCGGAGGUUAAGAAAAAGAUGCACAUUAUCCAAGUGUAUACAGUAAUGCAGGAGAAUGUAAUCAUUUCAGUAACUUCCCAGGAGGGUCAUGGUUACCAAGAUAGCAUGACAGAAUUUUAUUUGAAAAGGGGGAAAAAGGGAUUUUUCCAAGGUGGUCAUAGGAUUUACUCGAAACACUGUUUUAAGUUAUGUGUAUAUCCAUGCAUCCAUGUAAACUGCAAUUUUAAAAACUGUUCUGCUCCCCAGGCCAUUGGUGGAUGAAAGGAAGGAAAGAUAUCAGUCGUGAGGAAUGUUUAAAUAGCUUCUUGUUUUUCACUCACAGGACAGAUGGCAUGCAAACUAAUGAAAAAUAAAACACCAACUGACAUUCUAUAGCAGCUGUGUGGAUUGUCAACUAUAGGAAGAAAUGUGGCCCACUGAAUAGAUUGUUUUACUAGAAAUGAGGGAACUCAGGUUCUAAGCCUGAUUUCCUUUUUCAAAAAUGCCUAUGUUUUUGUAAGAAAAUUAUCUGUGCCUCAGUGUCUUCAUCUAUAGAAUAAGAGCAAUCAGACAUUAUACUUUAAGAAGAAAUGACAGAGAGAAAUAAUGAGACUUUCUUGUGGGAAUGUCACUUUCUUGUGGGAAAGACCACUAAAACAUAAAAUAUUCUUUUUCAUUAGUGAGAAAUCACAUUGCUUAAAUGAAGAAAGCUGAGCUCUUUCACUGCUCUAGAAUUCAUUGAUCUGAAUAACGAUGCUUUGGUACUCUUAAUAAGCUUAAGAUUUUAUCCACAACUCAAAUGAAAUUCAAUUCAGAUAUUGUGAGAUAUAGCCCUGGAACAAGAAGAGUUCAUGAGCUUUUACUCAUUUUCUGAGAAGAGGUCUCCAAUUUUUUUCCAGAAGGCCAAGCUUUUCUUCUUUGCACAUUUCUGCUUUGCAAAAAUUCCUUAUUUAAUUUGGUUGACCAGGUUUUUUUUUGUUGUUGUUGUUUUUGUUUGUUUGUUUUUAAUGUUUCCAUGCUAUACUACUCUCUUGCAUCUUAUGCAACUGUGUCCAUCUUUUCUGCCUGCAAGAUAGUUUUUUAUUUUUCUUUUCUUUCCUUUUAAUUUUUUUAAAUUUUUCUUUUCUUUUCUUUCCUUUUCUUUUCCUUUCUUUUCUUUUCUUUUCUUUUCUUUUCUUUUCUUUUCUUUUCUUUUCUUUUCUUUUCUUUUCUUUUCUUUUCUUUUCUUUUCUUUUCUUUUCUUUUCUUUUCUUUUCUUUUCUUUUCUUUUCUUUUCCUUUCUUUUCCUUUCUUUUCCUUUCUUUUCUUUUUGUUUUUGUUCUGUGGGCUCAAUCACUAUCUUGAGCCCUUGGCAAGAAUUUCUAUAACCCCUAUGAUCACAACUUAGUCUGGAAAGAAACAGUUUGCUUUCUACUUAAGAUAAGUCAGAAUACAACAAAAUUGAUGUGAUUUGUGUCAGUGUUCAAAGGAUUGGGUCUAGCUGCAGGGGUUACCUUGAUUUUGAUCUGUUACAGUUUUUUCCUGAGCAGAGCAGGAAGAAUCUCCCUCAUAGCCGCCACAUUUUUUCCUAUCAGGCCCUCAUGAAAAAGCCACAUUAAAUUUUCAGAGUAGC
ensembl:lncRNA